CUCAAUUUUUGCGAGAAGAGUAUAUUUGUCAUAAGUUUGUUUGGUCUGAAACUUUCGAUCAUGUUAUGGGAUAGAGGAGGACUAAUUUGACGACCGGUUAUCAAACCACCUAUAUACCGACCCAAGAUGUGAUUUGGGGGAUUCGAGUCCGGCCUCGUCGCUGUCCUCGAUCCGGGAAUGAUGGAAGGAAUGAUAUUAAGAUGGAGAAGAUGUACCUUAACCCUUUCGGCCCGAUCGGUGACUAUGAUCACCCAACGCCCGACGAUCGCUCUGUCCGAUUGGUGACCAUAGUCACCCAACGCCUGACGCUCGCUCUGUACGAGCUAUGACAAUGGUAACCCAACAUUUGACGCUCGUUAUGUACGAACGGUGACCGUGGUAACCCAACAUUAUGUUAUAAUUUUUUAAGCAUUUUUUUUAAGAGCGACUGCACUCGCUCUGCGUAAGAUAGCGUGGUAUUGUGCGUCUGACGGGCGCUUGCAGUUGUUCCGCAAGUACGGACGCUUGCCGCGACUGCUCGGUCAGCGGGGACGGCGCGACGUAGAAUGCGUCCGUAGCGAAAGGGUUAAGAUAAAAUUGAUCGGAAAAGCCACGUCUGA